AGAGUUUGAUCCUGGCUCAGAGUGAACGCUGGCGGUAGGCCUAACACAUGCAAGUCGAACGGCAGCACAGGAGAGCUUGCUCUCUGGGUGGCGAGUGGCGGACGGGCGAGGAAUACAUCGGAAUCUACCUUUUCGUGGGGGAUAACGUAGGGAAACUUACGCUAAUACCGCAUACGACCUUCGGGUGAAAGCAGGGGACCUUCGGGCCUUGCGCGGAUAGAUGAGCCGAUGUCGGAUUAGCUAGUUGGCGGGGUAAAGGCCCACCAAGGCGACGAUCCGUAGCUGGUCUGAGAGGAUGAUCAGCCACACUGGAACUGAGACACGGUCCAGACUCCUACGGGAGGCAGCAGUGGGGAAUAUUGGACAAUGGGCGCAAGCCUGAUCCAGCCAUACCGCGUGGGUGAAGAAGGCCUUCGGGUUGUAAAGCCCUUUUGUUGGGAAAGAAAAGCAGUCGAUUAAUACUCGGUUGUUCUGACGGUACCCAAAGAAUAAGCACCGGCUAACUUCGUGCCAGCAGCCGCGGUAAUACGAAGGGUGCAAGCGUUACUCGGAAUUACUGGGCGUAAAGCGUGCGUAGGUGGUUGUUUAAGUCUGUUGUGAAAGCCCUGGGCUCAACCUGGGAAUUGCAGUGGAUACUGGGCGACUAGAGUGUGGUAGAGGGUAGUGGAAUUCCUGGUGUAGCAGUGAAAUGCGUAGAGAUCAGGAGGAACAUCCAUGGCGAAGGCAGCUACCUGGACCAACAC
rnacentral:rRNA from 1 species